rnacentral:rRNA from 1 species
AUUGAACGCUGGCGGCAGGCCUAACACAUGCAAGUCGAGCGGAUGACGGGAGCUUGCUCCUUGAUUCAGCGGCGGACGGGUGAGUAAUGCCUAGGAAUCUGCCUAUUAGUGGGGGACAACAUUCCGAAAGGAAUGCUAAUACCGCAUACGUCCUACGGGAGAAAGCAGGGGAUCUUCGGACCUUGCGCUAGUAGAUGAGCCUAAGUCGGAUUAGCUAGUUGGUGGGGUAAAGGCCUACCAAGGCGACGAUCUGUAGCGGGUCUGAGAGGAUGAUCCGCCACACUGGACUGAGACACGGCCCAGACUCCUACGGGAGGCAGCAGUGGGGAAUAUUGGACAAUGGGGGGAACCCUGAUCCAGCCAUGCCGCGUGUGUGAAGAAGGCCUUAUGGUUGUAAAGCACUUUAAGCGAGGAGGAGGCUACUGAGACUAAUACUCUUGGAUAGUGGACGUUACUCGCAGAAUAAGCACCGGCUAACUCUGUGCCAGCAGCCGCCGUAAGAC